CGUGUAGGCGGUUUGGUAAGUCUGAUGUGAAAGCCCUGGGCUCAACCCAGGAAGUGCAUUGGAUACUGUCAGACUUGAGUACGGGAGAGGGUAGUGGAAUUCCCAGUGUAGGAGUGAAAUCCGUAGAUAUUGGGAGGAACACCGGUGGCGAAGGCGGCUACCUGGACCGAUACUGACGCUGAGACGCGAAAGCGUGGGGAGCAAACA
rnacentral:rRNA from 1 species